rnacentral:rRNA from 1 species
CCUACGGGAGGCAGCAGUGGGGAAUUUUGGACAAUGGGCGCAAGCCUGAUCCAGCAAUGCCGCGUGAGUGAAGAAGGCCUUCGGGUUGUAAAGCUCUUUUGUCAGGGAAGAAACGGCAGUUUCUAAUACAGAUUGCUAAUGACGGUACCUGAAGAAUAAGCACCGGCUAACUACGUGCCAGCAGCCGCGGUAAUACGUAGGGUGCAAGCGUUAAUCGGAAUUACUGGGCGUAAAGCGUGCGCAGGCGGUUUUGUAAGUUUGUCGUGAAAUCCCCGGGCUCAACCUGGGAAUGGCGAUGAAGACUGCAAGGCUAGAAUCUGGCAGAGGGGGGUAGAAUUCCACGUGUAGCAGUGAAAUGCGUAGAGAUGUGGAGGAACACCGAUGGCGAAGGCAGCCCCCUGGGUCAAGAUUGACGCUCAUGCACGAAAGCGUGGGGAGCAAACAGGAUUAGAUACCCUGGUAGUCCACGCCCUAAACGAUGUCUACUAGUUGUCGGGUUUUAAUAACUUGGUAACGCAGCUAACGCGUGAAGUAGACCGCCUGGGGAGUACGGUCGCAAGNUUAAAACUCAAAGUGAAUUGACCGGNNGAGAGNGCGACGACGACGACGAGGAGGAGG